AGAGACUUGGCUGAGCAGGGUUAUAGCGGCUCCUUCAUACGGAGCAGGAGGUGGGUUCGAUUCCCACAGUCUCUA
rnacentral:tRNA from 1 species